rnacentral:rRNA from 1 species
GAGGAAUGUAUAGCAAUAGCUACUUGCAUCAUUGUAAAGAUGAUGCAAGAUCGACUAUGUCGAAUAAAAUUCUAGGUAGAAUUAUGAUAAUGACAUUGUCUGCCUAUGUGUCUUGACCAAAUUACGUGCCAGCAGUCGCGGUAAUACGUAGAAGACUAGUGUUAUUCAUGUUUAAUCGGUUUAAAGGGUACCUAGACGGUAAAUCAAGCUUUCAAAAAAAAAAAAGAAUUAAAGGACUAAUUUACUAGAGUUACUUAUGAGGGGGUUUUAAAGUACUGCUGGUGUAGAGAUGAAAUUCUGUCAUACCUUUUUUCAAAAGAAAAAUCAUGGCACAGGUAUAGGCGAAGGCAUCCCCUUAUGUGAUAACUGACGUUGAGGGACGAAGGCUUUGUAUAGCGAACAGGAUUAGAUACCCCAGUAGUCGAAGCAGAAAAUGAUGAAUGUCAUAGAUUAGAUAUAUAAGUUUAUUCUAUAAAUGAAAGUGUAAGCAUUCCACCUCAUGAGUAAUUUGGCAACAUUGGAACUGAAAUCAUUAGACCGUUUCUGAAACCAGUAGUGAAGUAUGUUGUUUAAUUUGAUGCUCCGCAAAAAACCUUACCACAAUUUGAAUAUUUAUAUUUUUUUUAUUGUUUUCUUAUUAAUUUUCUUUUAA